AAAUUGAAGAGUUUGAUCAUGGCUCAGAUUGAACGCUGGCGGCAGGCCUAACACAUGCAAGUCGAGCGGAAACGAGUUAUCUGAACCUUCGGGGAACGAUAGCGGCGUCGAGCGGCGGACGGGUGAGUAAUGCCUAGGAAAUUGCCCUGAUGUGGGGGAUAACCAUUGGAAACGAUGGCUAAUACCGCAUGAUGCCUACGGGCCAAAGAGGGGGACCUUCGGGCCUCUCGCGUCAGGAUAUGCCUAGGUGGGAUUAGCUAGUUGGUGAGGUAAGGGCUCACCAAGGCGACGAUCCCUAGCUGGUCUGAGAGGAUGAUCAGCCACACUGGAACUGAGACACGGUCCAGACUCCUACGGGAGGCAGCAGUGGGGAAUAUUGCACAAUGGGCGCAAGCCUGAUGCAGCCAUGCCGCGUGUGUGAAGAAGGCCUUCGGGUUGUAAAGCACUUUCAGUCGUGAGGAAGGCGGUGUAGUUAAUAGCUGCAUCGUUUGACGUUAGCGACAGAAGAAGCACCGGCUAACUCCGUGCCAGCAGCCGCGGUAAUACGGAGGGUGCGAGCGUUAAUCGGAAUUACUGGGCGUAAAGCGCAUGCAGGUGGUUUGUUAAGUCAGAUGUGAAAGCCCGGGGCUCAACCUCGGAAUUGCAUUUGAAACUGGCAGACUAGAGUACUGUAGAGGGGGGUAGAAUUUCAGGUGUAGCGGUGAAAUGCGUAGAGAUCUGAAGGAAUACCGGUGGCGAAGGCGGCCCCCUGGACAGAUACUGACACUCAGA
rnacentral:rRNA from 1 species